UGAAUGAUAUUUUUUCUAUGUACUUUUUAACCCUCAAUCUGGCGUCAAUCUCAGAUUGAUGGACUGAACUGAUGCCAGAUUGAGCGUGUAACCUACGACU